GUUGUAGUUUAGCUUUAAGUCAAGCCAGACUGUGUUCAAUGUCUCCGUUUUAAGUACGAUUUGUUUGGUAGGAAUGGGCUACUGUUUCUAAAUGGCACCACUGAGAAGUUGUUGCUCAAAACCUCAGAGAAAAUUCCUUCUAAAUCUGAAGAACAAUGAUGGUGGAAAAGUAUAGUAACCAGAGAAAGAAUAGGUUCAUAAAAGAUCAGAAUGGAUUCCUAAAAGAUACUUCCACUGUUGGCAACAAAGUAGCAGUAGUGGUGCCAGUGAUGUGACAGGUGGAAAAUUGACGUACAGUGGACAUAUAGUAGUCAGGGAUGCUGAUGAUGAUGGAAGAGAAGGAGGGGCGGCAAGGGAAGGGGUUCUGAGAAGAGAGAUAAACAAACAAAGGAAUGGAAUUAUGUGCAGUUCUGUUUCCAUAGCAGCAGCUGAGAAAUAGUGCCAUAGUUAGAGGCGGGAGGGGUGGAUGUUACUGAGAAGGUUCAACGGGCACAGACUGGGUAGGAAGCAGGUGUGCAUAAGAUGGGGUUAAAAAAAUAAAACAAUCAAUCAA